ACGAACGCUGGCGGCACGCUUAACACAUGCAAGUCGAACGAGAGAAGAGAAGCUUGCUUUUCUGAUCUAGUGGCGGACGGGUGAGUAACACGUGAGCAAUCUGCCUUUCAGAGGGGGAUACCGAUUGGAAACGAUCGUUAAUACCGCAUAACAUAAUUGAACCGCAUGAUUUGAUUAUCAAAGAUUUAUCGCUGAAAGAUGAGCUCGCGUCUGAUUAGCUAGUUGGUAAGGUAACGGCUUACCAAGGCGACGAUCAGUAGCCGGACUGAGAGGUUGAUCGGCCACAUUGGGACUGAGACACGGCCCAGACUCCUACGGGAGGCAGCAGUGGGGAAUAUUGCACAAUGGAGGAAACUCUGAUGCAGCGAUGCCGCGUGAGGGAAGAAGGUUUUAGGAUUGUAAACCUCUGUCUUCAGGGACGAAAAAAGACGGUACCUGAGGAGGAAGCUCCGGCUAACUACGUGCCAGCAGCCGCGGUAAUACGUAGGGAGCGAGCGUUGUCCGGAAUUACUGGGUGUAAAGGGAGCGUAGGCGGGAUCGCAAGUCAGAUGUGAUAACUAUGGGCUUAACCCAUAAACUGCAUUUGAAACUGUGGUUCUUGAGUGAAGUAGAGGUAAGCGGAAUUCCUAGUGUAGCGGUGAAAUGCGUAGAUAUUAGGAGGAACAUCAGUGGCGAAGGCGGCUUACUGGGCUUUAACUGACGCUGAGGCUCGAAAGCGUGGGGAGCAAACAGGAUUAGAUACCCUGGUAGUCCACGCCGUAAACGAUGAUUACUAGGUGUGGGGGGACUGACCCCUUCCGUGCCGCAGCAAACGCAAUAAGUAAUCCACCUGGGGAGUACGACCGCAAGGUUGAAACUCAAAGGAAUUGACGGGGGCCCGCACAAGCAGUGGAGUAUGUGGAUUAAUUCGAAGCAACGCGAAGAACCUUACCAGGUCUUGACAUCGUAUGCAUAGCUCAGAGAUGAGUGAAAUCUCUUCGGAGACAUAUAGACAGGUGGUGCAUGGUUGUCGUCAGCUCGUGUCGUGAGAUGUUGGGUUAAGUCCCGCAACGAGCGCAACCCUUACUGUUAGUUGCUACGCAAGAGCACUCUAGCAGGACUGCCGUUGACAAAACGGAGGAAGGUGGGGAUGACGUCAAAUCAUCAUGCCCCUUAUGACCUGGGCCUCACACGUACUACAAUGGCUGUUAACAGAGGGAUGCAAAGCCGCGAGGUGGAGCGAACCCCUAAAAGCAGUCUUAGUUCGGAUUGUAGGCUGCAACCCGCCUACAUGAAGUCGGAAUUGCUAGUAAUCGCAGAUCAGCAUGCUGCGGUGAAUACGUUCCCGGGCCUUGUACACACCGCCCGUCACGCCAUGGGAGUCGGUAACACCCGAAGCCUGUAGUCUAACCGCAAGGAGGACGCAGUCGAAGGUGGGAUUGAUGACUGGGGUG
rnacentral:rRNA from 1 species